rnacentral:rRNA from 1 species
GAACGUGCCCCGAGGUGGGGAAUAGCGGCGGGAAACCGCCGGUAAUACCCCAUAUGCUCUCCGGAGGAAAGGUUUACCGCCUUGGGAGCGGCGAAUGUCCUAUCAGGUUGUUGGUGAGGUAACGGCUCACCAAGCCGAAGACGGGUAGCGGGUGUGAGAGCAUGACCCGCCGCAUCGGAACUGAGACACUGUCCGGACUCCUACGGGAGGCUGCAGUAACGAAUCUUCCGCAAUGCACGCAAGUGUGACGGAGCAAUGCCGCGUGCGGGAUGAAGCGGCUCCGCCGUGUAAACCGCUGUCAGGUUCCAGAAAGAACUGAUCAGAACCAGAGGAAGGGCCGGCUAAUCUCGUGCCAGCAGCCGCGGUAAUACGAGAGGCCCGAGCGUUGAGCGGAAUCACUGGGCUUAAAGGGUGCGUAGGCGGACCGGUAGGCGUCUUGUGAAAUCCCACGGCUCAACCGUGGAAUUGCAGGGCGAACCAUCGGUCUUGAGGUGGGUAGAGGUCGCCGGAACGUUGGGUGGAGCGGUGAAAUGCGUAGAGAUCCAACGGAACGCCAAUGGUGAAGACAGGCGACUGGGCCCAACCUGACGCUGAGGCACGAAAGCGUGGGGAGCAAACAGGAUUAGAUACCCUGGUAGUCCACGCCGUAAACGAUGCGCACUUGGUCGGUGGGGUGUUCACGCCCUGCCGGCCGGAGAGAAAUUGUUAAGUGCGCCGCCUGGGGACUACGGUCGCAAGGCUAAAACUCAAAGGAAUUGACGGGGGCUCACACAAGCGGUGGAGCAUGUUGCUUAAUUCGAAGCAACGCGAAGAACCUUACCUGGGCUUGACAUGCACGGAUUAGCUCUUGGAAACAUGAGUGACGCGGCUUGCCGUGGAACGUGCACAGGUGCUGCAUGGCUGUCGUCAGCUCGUGCUGUGAAGUGUCGGGUUAAGUCCCUUAACGAGCGCAACCAUUAUCGGUAGUGGCCAGCGCGUCAUGAUGUGGAGUCUAUCCAGACCACCGGUGUCAAACCGGAGGAAGGUGG